CCUACGGGAGGCAGCAGUGAGGAAUAUUGGUCAAUGGGCGAGAGCCUGAACCAGCCAAGUCGCGUGAGGGAGUACUGCCCUAUGGGUUGUAAACCUCUUUUGUCGGGGAGCAAAAGCCGGACGUGUCCGGCUGUGAGAGUACCCGAUGAAAAAGCAUCGGCUAACUCCGUGCCAGCAGCCGCGGUAAUACGGAGGAUGCGAGCGUUAUCCGGAUUUAUUGGGUUGAAAGGGUGCGCAGGCGGGUUUUUAAGUCAGCGGUAAAAUCGUGGGGCUCAACCCCAUCCAGCCGUUGAAACUGGGGAUCUAGAGUGUGCGAGAGGUAUGCGGAAUGCGUGGUGUAGCGGUGAAAUGCAUAGAUAUCACGCAGAACCCCGAUUGCGAAGGCAGCAUACCGGUGCACAACUGACGCUCAGGCACGAAAGCGUGGGUAUCGAACAGGAUUAGAUACCCCGGUAGUC
rnacentral:rRNA from 1 species